rnacentral:rRNA from 1 species
AAUCAACGCUGGCGGCGUGCCUCAGACAUGCAAGUCGAACGAUUAAAGCUCCCUUCGGGGAGUGCAUAAAGUGGCGCACGGGUGAGUAACACGUAAGUAAUCUACCCUCGGGUGGGAAUAACAUCGGGAAACCGAUGCUAAUACCGCAUAAUGCAGCGGCACCGCAAGGUGACAGUUGUUAAAGAUUUAUUGCCUGGGGAGAGCUUGCGGCAGAUUAGCUUGUUGGAAGGUAACGGCUUACCAAGGCUACGAUCUGUAUCCGGUCUAAGAGGACGGUCGGACACACUGGACACUGAAUAACGGGUCAGACUCCUACGGGAGGCAGCAGUCGGGAAUUUUGGGCAAGU